GCCCACUCCUCAUGACUCACACCGGAGCAAUCCCUUUUUUUUUUCCUGUUUUGAUUGGGAUAAAAAUCAUCUCCAGGAACGGAUGGAGAACUCUGCGUUACCCAGCUCACAGUUCCCAGCCUGAAAUCAGCUGAGCACCCCCAGCUCUCCCAGCCCGGCUCCAGAGGGGCUCCAGCCCUGCAGCAGCUCCGGGAUCUCCUCUGGACUCUCUCCAGCAGCUCCAGCUCCUCCCUGUGCUGAGGAUCCCAGAACAUGUGAAUAUUCACAGGGAAUGCUCUCCAGGAAUGCUAAAGCUCCUAAUGAGUGAUGAAAUUCCAAACCACUGAGCUGGAUAUACUGAAAAGAGUCAGGAUUAAAUGCUCGAGAGAUGGUGUUUGUGUUCGGACUCAGGUGUUUAGCAAUUCUUAUCUAUAUUACAGUCUCAGAAGCCGUGAGCACUUCUAGCUAACAAACUAAAAAUGGAGCCCUCUCUAUGUCCUUACAAGGCCUCUUAAGGAUAAACUGUCCAAUUGAGAAAUGACACCUGAAUUAUUUUUACUUUUAACCCAAUAACCGAACACCUGUAGUCUGCAAUGUGGAUUUUUCUCCCCAAUUACAAAAUCCCACCCAGACCCAUGAGGAAGAAGGUGAAAAAGAAGGACUCAGCCUCUGCCCUAAAUCCUCCAUCCUGCUUUAUCUCUAUUCCUGCAUUCUAAACCCUUCAGCUCUGAGUUUUGCACCCUGUGCUCUCACACACUUCUAUCCAAACCCCACAGCCACAAUCCCAGCGCUGUCACUCCAUUUUGGGAGCUGUUCCACGGGCUCAGGUCAGUGCAGUGUUUGCUGGGGGCUCAGAGCCUGGCAGCACAGGAACUCUGGAAUUCCCAGUGCCCAGGGCUCCAGCAGCCAUGUGGAAUGGGAAAUGCAGAG